UACGGAGGGGGCUAGCGUUGUUCGGAUUUACUGGGCGUAAAGCGCACGUAGGCGGAUUGGUCAGUUAGGGGUGAAAUCCCAGGGCUUAACCCUGGAACUGCCUUUAAUACUGCCAGUCUUGAGUAUGGAAGAGGUGAGUGGAAUUGCGAGUGUGGAGGUGAAAUUCGUAGAUAUUCGCAGGAACACCAGUGGCGAAGGCGGCUCACUGGUCCAUUACUGACGCUGAGGUGCGAAAGCGUGGGGAGCAAACAGG
rnacentral:rRNA from 1 species